GCGGAAGUACCCAAGAGGCCGAAGGGGCUCCCCUGCUAAGGGAGUAGCCGGUCUAAAGCCGGGCGAGGGUUCAAAUCCCUCCUUCCGCGCCA
rnacentral:tRNA from 1 species